rnacentral:rRNA from 1 species
GACGAACGCUGGCGGCGUGCUUAACACAUGCAAGUCGAACGGUGAAGCGCCUUCCUUUUUGGUGGGUGUGGAUGAGUGGCGAACGGGUGAGUAACACGUGAGUAACCUGCCCCCUUCUUCUGGAUAACCGCAUGAAAGUGUGGCUAAUACGGGAUAUUCUGGGUCUGUCGCAUGAUGGGUCUGGGAAAGAUAUUGUUUCGGUGGGGGAUGGGCUCGCGGCCUAUCAGCUUGUUGGUGGGGUGAUGGCCUACCAAGGCGGUGACGGGUAGCCGGCCUGAGAGGGUGGACGGUCACACGGGGACUGAGACACGGCCCAGACUCCUACGGGAGGCAGCAGUGGGGAAUAUUGCACAAUGGGCGCAAGCCUGAUGCAGCGACGCCGCGUGAGGGAUGGAGGCCUUCGGGUUGUGAACCUCUUUCGCCAGUGAAGCAGGCCUGCCUCGUUUGUGGGUGGGUUGACGGUAGCUGGAUAAGAAGCGCCGGCUAACUACGU